rnacentral:rRNA from 1 species
GSYYYSRRGAMUUUUCMGAGAUGGAUGGGUGCCUUCGGGAACUCGAACACAGGUGCUGCAUGGCUGUCGUCAGCUGAGACGUGAGAUGUKGGGUUAAGUCCCGCAACGAGSGCAACCCUUGUCCUUAGUUGCCAGCACGUAAUGGUGGGAACUCURAGGAGACCGCCGGUGACAAACCGGAGGAAGGUGGGGAUGACGUCAAGUCAUCAUGGCCCUUACGGCCAGGGCUACACACGUACUACAAUGGUAGGGACAGAGGGCUGCAAGCCGGCGACGGUAAGCCAAUCCCAGAAACCCUAUCUCAGUCCGGAUUGGAGUCUGCAACUCGACUCCWUGAAGUCSGAAUCGSUAGUAAUCSCAGAUCAGCAUUGCUGCGGUGAAUACGUUCCCGGGUCUUGUACACACCGU